CCGGGGCACGAACCCGUAUCCCUUGCAUCGGCAGGCGGACUCUCAACCACUGCGCCACCAGGGAAGGCCUCUCCUGAGCUUUUAAGGGCCUGAAGUGGGCUCUGUCCUCUCAGGCCGAGAGUUUCCUAGUCUGGGGGCUCUUCUCGCAGAACUCACCCACGCAGACUCCCCUCAGCCGCUGUUGGAAAAGGAGACUGAGGUGCAGUAAAAGGAAGUGAUUUUCGAAGGACACACUGGUCAUGAGAGACUGUUUCAUGAAACACCAGGAGGCAGACAGGAGUUCUGGCCUUCUCCCUGGGGACCUGUGGAGGCCUUCUGCUACUCUGACUGCAUUCUCUGAAUGCUUUUCCUACAUUAACAACUUGCCCCUCACC